rnacentral:tRNA from 1 species
GGAGAUAUAACCCUAAUGGUAAGGGAGCAACUUGCUAAGUUGUUAGUAAUCGAGUAAUUGGUGUAUAGGUUCAAGUCCUAUUAUCUCCGCCA